rnacentral:tRNA from 1 species
GGGAGCGUAGCUGAGAUGGUAGAGCGCUCGCUUAGCAUGCGAGAGAUACGGGGAGUGACACCCCGCGCCUCCA